UACGUAGGGUGCAAGCGUUAAUCGGAAUUACUGGGCGUAAAGCGUGCGCAGGCGGUUAUGUAAGACAGGUGUGAAAUCCCCGGGCUUAACCUGGGAACUGCAUUUGUGACUGCAUAGCUAGAGUACGGUAGAGGGGGAUGGAAUUCCGCGUGUAGCGGUGAAAUGCGUAGAUAUGCGGAGGAACACCGAUGGCGAAGGCAAUCCCCUGGACCUGUACUGACGCUCAUGCACGAAAGCGUGGGGAGCAAACAGG
rnacentral:rRNA from 1 species